UACGUAGGGGGCAAGCGUUGUCCGGAAUCAUUGGGCGUAAAGAGCGUGUAGGCGGCCAGAAAAGUCCGCUGUGAAAACUCGAGGCUCAACUUCGAGCUGUCGGUGGAAACUUUCUGGCUAGAGUCCGGAAGAGGCGAGUGGAAUUCCCGGUGUAGCGGUGAAAUGCGUAGAUAUCUGGAGGAACACCGGUGGCGAAGGCGGCGUUCUGGACUGCAACUGACACUGAGGAACGAAAGCCAGGGGAGCAAACGGG
rnacentral:rRNA from 1 species